rfam:Daucus carota subsp. sativus cultivar DH1 chromosome 8, whole genome shotgun sequence.
GCUGAGCCUAGUAGCGUGGGCUUGUCACUCGAGCGAGAGCUUUAAGAUGGUUGGAGUUUGGAUUGGUCCAGAAGGCUGGGCUCUGCUGAGGUUUGUACAGGCUUGCCCAUUCCAAGUAUGGAGUUGUGCCUUGGCCAUUGAGCGAAGGCUCGUUGGUCAGGUUCACUGAAGUGGAAGGCACAGCGCUAGGCUGGCUUCACAGAGCAGCGAACACUUCCCUCUCCUGUCGGUGGAAGGAUAACGAGCUUGUUCUUGGCAAGUCCAUUUAACACCUGAUGGACCACUCAAAUCGACAACCAUCUUU